AAAGCAGGUUGCAAUUUCAAUGCUUCGUUUUGUAGAAGUAUUGACAUUAUCCUGCUGAAAGAAAAGCUGUGUUGAUAGUUUUUUGAUUUUGCCCAUAUGGGUAAAAUCAUGACACAUUGACAUGGACAAUU